rnacentral:misc_RNA from 1 species
UCUCCGUAGGUGAACCUGCGGAGGGAUCAUUACUGAGUGAGGGCCCCCGGCCCGACCUCCAACCCUUUGUGUAUCUCGACCCUGUUGCCUCGGGGGCGACCCGGCCUUCGGGCGUCGGGGCCCCCGGUGGCUCACACCUCAACUCUUGCAUCUGUGCGUCUGAGUAACAUAUUGAAUCAAUCAAAACUUUCAACAACGGAUCUCUUGGUUCUGGCAUCGAUGAAGAACGCAGC